rnacentral:rRNA from 1 species
GACGAACGCUGGCGGCGUGCUUAACACAUGCCAGUCGAACGGAAAGGCCCUGCUUUUGUGGGGUGCUCGAGUGGCGAACGGGUGAGUAACACGUGAGUAACCUGCCCUUGACUUUGGGAUAACUUCAGGAAACUGGGGCUAAUACCGGAUAGGAGCUCCUGCUGCAUGGUGGGGGUUGGAAAGUUUCGGCGGUUGGGGAUGGACUCGCGGCUUAUCAGCUUGUUGGUGGGGUAGUGGCUUACCAAGGCUUUGACGGGUAGCCGGCCUGAGAGGGUGACCGGCCACAUUGGGACUGAGAUACGGCCCAGACUGCUACGGGAGGCAGCAGUGGGGAAUAUUGCACAAUGGGCGGAAGCCUGAUGCAGAAACGCCGCGUGCGGGAUGACGGCCUUCGGGUUGUAAACCGCUUUCGCCUGUGACGAAGCGUGAGUGACGGUAAUGGGUAAAGAAGCACCGGCUAACUACGUG